CAGCCGCCACGGGAAUACGUAGGGCGCAAGCGUUGUCCGGAAUUAUUGGGCGUAAAGAGCUCGUAGGCGGUCUGUCGCGUCUGGUGUGAAAUCCCGAGGCUCAACCUCGGGCUUGCAUCGGGUACGGGCAGACUAGAGUGCGGUAGGGGAGACUGGAAUUCCUGGUGUAGCGGUGGAAUGCGCAGAUAUCAGGAGGAACACCGAUGGCGAAGGCAGGUCUCUGGGCCGCAACUGACGCUGAGGAGCGAAAGCAUGGGGAGCGAACAGGAUUAGAUACCCCUGUAGUCCCUGUCUCUUAUAA
rnacentral:rRNA from 1 species